GGUCGGUUAGCUCAGUUGGUUAGAGCGGUAUGUCUCCAUUUCGAAAAUAUAAGAAAGAUGCGCCGUUGAUACUAAUACGAUCCACAGUCGUACUAAUAAUGCGAAGGUCAUGAGUUCGACCCUCAUACUGACCA
rnacentral:tRNA from 1 species